rnacentral:rRNA from 1 species
ACUCCUACGGGAGGCAGCAGUGGGGAAUAUUGGACAAUGGGCGGAAGCCUGAUCCAGCAACGCCGCGUGAGGGAUGACGGCCUUCGGGUUGUAAACCUCUUUCAGUACCGACGAAGCGCAAGUGACGGUAGGUACAAAAGAAGCACCGGCCAACUACGUGCCAGCAGCCGCGGUAAUACGUAGGGUGCGAGCGUUGUCCGGAAUUAUUGGGCGUAAAGGGCUCGUAGGCGGUUUGUCGCGUCGGGAGUGAAAACGCCGUGCUUAACACGGCGCUUGCUUUCGAUACGGGCAGACUAGAGGUAUGCAGGGGAGAACGGAAUUCCUGGUGUAGCGGUGAAAUGCGCAGAUAUCAGGAGGAACACCGGUGGCGAAGGCGGUUCUCUGGGCAUUACCUGACGCUGAGGAGCGAAAGUGUGGGGAGCGAACAGGAUUAGAUACCCUGGUAGUCCACACCGUAAACGUUGGGCGCUAGGUGUGGGGUCCAUUCCACGGAUUCCGUGCCGCAGCUAACGCAUUAAGCGCCCCGCCUGGGGAGUACGGCCGCAAGGCUAAAACUCAAAGGAAUUGACGG